GACGAACGCUGGCGGCGUGCCUAAUACAUGCAAGUCGAGCGGAGCUGAUGGAGUGCUUGCACUCCUGAUGCUUAGCGGCGGACGGGUGAGUAACACGUAGGCAACCUGCCCUCAAGACUGGGAUAACUACCGGAAACGGUAGCUAAUACCGGAUAAUUAAAUCUGCUGCAUGGCAGAGUUAUGAAAGGCGGAGCAAUCUGUCACUUGAGGAUGGGCCUGCGGCGCAUUAGCUAGUUGGUGAGGUAACGGCUCACCAAGGCGACGAUGCGUAGCCGACCUGAGAGGGUGAACGGCCACACUGGGACUGAGACACGGCCCAGACUCCUACGGGAGGCAGCAGUAGGGAAUCUUCCGCAAUGGGCGAAAGCCUGACGGAGCAACGCCGCGUGAGUGAUGAAGGUUUUCGGAUCGUAAAGCUCUGUUGCCAGGGAAGAACGUCUCAUAGAGUAACUGCUAUGAGAGUGACGGUACCUGAGAAGAAAGCCCCGGCUAACUACGUGCCAGCAGCCGCGGUAAUACGUAGGGGGCAAGCGUUGUCCGGAAUUAUUGGGCGUAAAGCGCGCGCA
rnacentral:rRNA from 1 species